rnacentral:rRNA from 1 species
GAUGAACGCUGGCGGCGUGCCUAAUACAUGCAAGUCGAGCGAACGGACGAGAAGCUUGCUUUUCUGAUGUUAGCGGCGGACGGGUGAGUAACACGUGGAUAACCUACCUAUAAGACUGGGAUAACUUCGGGAAACCGGAGCUAAUAUCGGAUAAUAUUUUGAACCGCAUGGUUCAAUAGUGAAAGACGGUCUUGCUGUCACUUAUAGAUGGAUCCGCGCUGCAUUAGCUAGUUGGUAAGGUAACGGCUUACCAAGGCAACGAUGCAUAGCCGACCUGAGAGGGUGAUCGGCCACACUGGAACUGAGACACGGUCCAGACUCCUACGGGAGGCAGCAGUAGGGAAUCUUCCGCAAUGGGCGAAAGCCUGACGGAGCAACGCCGCGUGAGUGAUGAAGGUCUUCGGAUCGUAAAACUCUGUUAUUAGGGAAGAACAUAUGUGUAAGUAACUGUGCACAUCUUGACGGUACCUAAUCAGAAAGCCACGGCUAACUACGUG